CGGGCAACCUGCCCUCAGCUCUGGGAUAACUCCGGGAAACCGGGGCUAAUACCGGAUACGACCUGCCCUGGCAUCGGGGUCGGUGGAAAGUUCUUCGGCUGAGGAUGGGCCCGCGGCCUAUCAGCUAGUUGGUGGGGUGAUGGCCUACCAAGGCGACGACGGGUGGCCGGCCUGAGAGGGCGACCGGCCACACUGGGACUGAGACACGGCCCAGACUCCUACGGGAGCA
rnacentral:rRNA from 1 species